CUUAGGGGCGCCUGGAUGGCUCUGUCAGUUAAGUGUCUGACUUCGGCUCAGAUCCCGAGCUCAUGUUUGGUGAGUUGGUUCGAUGUCAGCAUAGAGCCUGCUUCGGAUCCUCUGUCUUAUUCUCUCUGCCCCUCCCCAACUCAGGCACACCUGUGCUCUCUCUCUCUCUCUCAAAAAUAAAUAAAGAUUUAAAAAAAUUAAAAUAGAAAUCUCCCUCUUAAUAAAGCGGAACACACACUUUGCAACAAACAUAUUUUAGAGCUGAUUUGAUUAAUUCAUUUGAAAACCAGAGCUCUGGGCAGUUAGUUGCUUCUAGAAACAUUUGUUUUUGAUUUAACAUCUUUGGCAAGACAAAAAGAUAAACAGAAAUGAUGCGGCUUCUUAGAGAAAGACAAUGUUCCACUCAUUUUCUCUCCGAGGAAGCUUGCUAUAUAUUUUUUUCCUCAUGUCAGAAAUACAUGGAGUGUCUUUUCACAGAGAAAUACCAUACUUCCAAAAUGGCUCUUGUCUUCAUGGGGCUGAUAAUCUAAGCAGGAGAUACAGUACAACGCAGGGCCAAGUUGGAGCGUGUGGUUAAGGAGUAGUUCAGACGAAUCCCCCACCGUCUGCAUUGGAUUCCAGUUUUUGAUUUUUCCUUCUUUUUUUCCAAAUUCCUUUUUUUUAAAAUCUUCCCCCCUUUCCUAAUUCCCAGCUGCUGAGAAAACACUCUGACCUCAUCUGUGCUGGCAACAAUCAAAGCCCUUUGUGCUGCUUGUUGGGUGUGCCUGUCCUGCCCUGAGAAUGUGGCAGCUGGUUGGCCAUUGUGGACAGAGAAGAGCUACUGUCACUUAUCUUGACAGGCUGCUUUUCUGUGAUGUGGGCAACCCCCAGGCCCCGCUUCACAGGAUAAGAGAGGAGCACCGGUUUGUAGUGGGAAGGCCUACAUGGGGGUGUCAGAACUACCCUCACCUCUGGAAGCCUGUCUCCUCACUGGGACCAGGACAGACCUCCUGUUUGAAAGGGCUGUGCGUGGAUUUGAUGCCCAGACUUGAAAGUUCCCUGAACCAAGAGAAGCAUGUGCGAAACACAUCAAGGGACUCAGGCUUCCCAAAAACCCAACUUCAUUGUUUUUCUUGGAGGUGGAGAGAGCUGCUGUUCAGAAAAAUUUCCAAGGUUUCUGUGAUUUGUUAUGAAUUGAAGGUCGUUCCCUGGAUCAGAUUCGUAGGAGGCACCGGAGUCCGCCCGACGGUCAACGUGGAAGCAGAUGUGAGCUGGCAAUUGUGCAGCGGCGGAGAGAAAACACUCAUUUGGUUUGCCUCCUUGGGUUUCACUUUGCGCCUCCCCAGACUGUCUUCUCCCCGAUUUCCACUAGAGGGCGCCGAGCCCCCAGCUGUGCCGGCUCUCCAAGUAGGGGUCUUUUCUGAUCCUGGUCCCAGGGGCCUGCUGCAGAGACUCCAGAGGAUUCUGGAUCCAGUUUGGGGUUCAGGGUUCCCUCAAAAGGUUGUUUGAGGACCUAAUUUUGAGCGACCUGCCCCUGUUGAAAUUACUUCUGCCACUUUGGAACGUCUGCUGAGAAUAACCAGGAUCCGCAUUUCCACUGUACUUUGUGCCUCACAACAUACUUUUGCGGUUACUGUGCCAUCGGAUACUUCCGCGACCGUAAGGCAUGACUCCUUUCCUUCCCACCUCACGGAUGAGAACAACAAGGUCCAGAACGAGUAAGCGCUGGCCCUGGGACUUGAACUCACAUCAUGUGAUUCAAAAGGGAUUGCUCCUAUUUUGGGGGGGUCUUGGCAGUAUUAAGAAUUCAUUUGGGUUUGACUCCAGGGAAACCCUUCAGACUCCGCGAGCUUCACAUGGGUGUGCAUUAUCAGGAAAUUAAGACAUUCCCUCCAGACACUCUUCAGAAAAUGGCAGCACGUAUUUUUCCUGGACUGGUUGAAGGGCAUCCUUUCUUAGGGCAGCGGGAUGGACUGGACAAGCCCUGGAGGUGGCUUCUAGCCGUUCUGUUCUGCGGAACAAAGCAUCCAGAAAUAGACGAAUCGGUCCCUUUUACCCCAGUAACAUUUGUGGCUAACUGUAUGAAAACAGGCCAUUUCCAGUCUAAUUCAUAACUACCGUAGAGUCGUUUUAGGAGGUGCUCAUCUCAGUAAUGGAUUCAAAAAUUCUCUCCGGCUUAAGACCUCAUUGUUCUGGAGCACGGCGGCUGUCCCGCCUGAAGCAUGCAGUUCUCCCCGUGGCCACAGGGUGGCGGGGUGACCUUAAGCUUCUUCCUCGCCUUUGGACAGGAAACGCAGCCCUCAUCAAAAUGAGCAAAAUGGAGCAACUCGGAGCGGGUUCAGAGUGACAUACACUUCACGUUUAUAACCCCUUAAAAAGGGAGCGGCAAGCGCUCUGUUUCCAGAAUGUCAGCGAUGGGAGGUAGUGAGGAGAGGGGAUGCUGGGUUCUGAGACAGUAGAAGAGGCUCGUAGUGUGGAGGGCCAGGUCUACUGCAGCCCAUGGCCCGGUUACCUGGCCGAGGCCGAGGGGGCUGUGCCCUGCGGAAGCCCACCGUUGGGCCUUCCAAAACUAUUGCUGUUCCCCUUCUCUGUCUCGGAACCUUCUUUCCUGGGGCUCUGCUUUUAUAGAUUGUCCCCAGGAUGUACUCGUUAUGUCUUAAAGGGGUGCUUCGUGCUGUAUAAGUUGGGGAGGGGGGUGAUGCACCCUCCAAUGGGCAACAACCCCUUUCUGAGCCUCAAAUUGAGACAUAGGCUUCUGACAUGAGGGGCCGUAUUUUGGGGGAACGGUGAGGAGACAUUUAAAUGUGGAUUCUGGGUUGUACAGGCACCUCCCACCCACACACGGUGGAAGCCUGGAGAGACUUGAGGGAGCGUUUACUGCUUGCCUACUGUGGGCAUCAUGAUGCAGGUGCGAGCUCCCGUGGGGCCAAUGCGGACCCUACUAGGUGCCGAUGGUAGGAGGAUUGGGCAGGAGCCUGACCCACCCUACUGAUGCCCACAUGGAAACUGUGAACUUUCACCUCCCGCACUUCUGCCAAAGCCCUGGAUGCCGCCGUGUGGAGACAGCAGAGCUUUAGUGUCAUUAGCUCUAGUCUUCUUAGCCGGCCUGGCAGAAGCGAUGUUGAAUUUCAACGUGGGAAGUUUCCAAGCACAUCUUGAGGGAUGCAGGAGCCUCUAACACUUUUCUGUACAUGUGAUUAAUAUUCCUUUCCUCAAAUUUGAGACCCACGGGUGGGUGUUUGUGUAUCAGACACACGCACACAUAACACACACAUGCCUCGGAAUGGGGAGGCAUUGCCGUUCAGGUUUCAAGACGGAGGCUGCGUGUAAUAGCUUCUUUCCUCCUUCUGGAUUUGGUUUCGCUUCAAUAUUUAUGUCAUUCACUUAUUAAUCUUUUACAGGUAUUCUCAGAACACCUACUGUGUGCCAGGCAAAUUAAAAUGAGUCAGAGUCAAGCUUAUUUUUAGAAAAAGACAGACCCCAGGGAAUCCAUCCUUUUUUUUUGGUAGGGAAAAGGCAGGGCUGAGCCGUGUGGCUGAGAAUGCGGGUCUGGAGCUGCCGCCUGGGCGGGAAUCCUGGCGCAGGUGCUCCCUGUCUGUGUGUUGUUCGCUCAGUUUCCUCAUCCUCGUAUGUGGGUAAUGGUAGGACCCACAUCACUCUGUUGUUGUCAGGAGCAAACGAACGAGUAAGAAGGGCUCCGUACCAUGCACGUGGAAAGAACACAAUACACACAGAGCCCUUACUCUUCUUCUUUUCUCCUUGUGAACUAAAGUUCCCCAGGAUCCUCGUUAGGCUGAGAUCUCUCCUGUGCUUAUGGACCAGCUAACAUGGAGACUGAGGAUGAACUGGACCCGGCUGUUUCUGUUUUGGGAGCUGGGAGCAGCUGAGGAGGCCUGUCAUCGCGGCCAGCAGGGAAGAAGCAGGUGGUGACGGAAUGAGCUCAGUGAUGAGCCAUCACUCUGGCCAUUGGGGCAGGGGGGUGAAGACGGGCGACCCCUGCUGUGGCCCGGACUCUGAUCGAGGUGACUGCCUGGGAGUCACCAUCCUCCUGAGACAUCACUUGCCGGUCUUUACACAAACUGAAGUCCCUUAAGGAGACUGUGACCCUCAGAAACAAAGAAAGACCCUUCUUUGGUCAAGAGGAUUCUAGGGCAUCAGGAGAUCACCUUUAGAGACAGUCCAAGCUCUGGUUUCUGAGGGAUCCCCCAGGUCAUGGAGCCCCCGUGUCACCUUUUAGGGCUCAGUGAUCACGGCACAGCUCCAUCCAUGAUGGUGCCCAUGGGGCAAGGCACCCCUGACAAGGUAGUGUCUACAUAUUUUAGUCUGGUCUUUCUAGAGUUGUGGCUUCACCCUGGUUCUUCCAACCUCAUUCCUGAAGAUGUGUGGGAAGGAGCCAUGUGCAUUCGUCCCCAAGCCUUGAGUCCCCUGGAUCAAGAAUGAGUGACCCCAAGCUCUCAGGAGCAGGGGGGCAGCUCCUGUCAGGGAGGCUCCAAAAGGCUGUGAGCUGAGAUCCACUGGGGGGCUUCAGGCUGCCCUAAAACCAGGCCCGCAGUGGCUAAUGGGCAGGUGUGGUGGAAUUGUGGGUAGCUCGGUGACACCUCGGUGCCACUCAAGGGGUUGCUUUGUAAGCGUCUUCUAGGAGAGCGAUGGGGAGAGGGCAUGAGAGCAAGAAGGCCCAACAGCAGGCCCCAGAGGGGCGAAGAGAUACCAUAGGAGGGGUGAAGCUGGGGAUCUCAGGUUCUUUGCUAGGCAGGUGACCUUGAGUAGGCUAUUUCACCUUGUGGGGCCUCACUUUUCAAACCUAUAAAACAGGAAGAAAAAAUGUUGCCUCCAUCACUAGGCUGAAUCAACACGAGUCCAGCUGCUGUGUGCAGGUGGCCGUGCUCCUUGAACAGAGGCUUCUGCUCUGGGACUGGCCUGUCUGCAGUACCCAUCCAGGCAUUCCUGGGGUGCCCCCUGCCUGCCUCCGGCUCCGUCUGUCCCAGGUGAGGAGCACUUGGGCUGUCCGCAGCCCGUCUGUCCUUGUCACACGGCCAACACAUGCCCUUCCAGGAGCCAGGUCCAGGUCAGGCUCGAAGUCCUCAAGCUCUGACCUCACCAAACUUCCUCCUUCCUCACUCUGCCUUCCACGUGUGCUGUGCUCCCUCACGCUGAGGUCCCUGUGGGGCGCCUCACCUUUGCUGACACCCUUUCCUUCACCCAAACCCUCAGGUUCCUCAGUCUCCAGUACUGGUUGCCGUUCAGCCGACGGGGCAACACAGGCUUCAUGGUGCUAACACCAUAACCUCCCACCCCCUCCCACCCUCAAUCCAAAGUGCUCUCUCUGCAGUGCCUCGAAGUUGGCAUAAAGAACAAUAUUUGAGCCCCAUGGCAGGGCCAAGGGGCUGGAAAUUCCUCUUAUCCUAGGCUGUUUGGGCAGCUUUGCCCUAGUGUCAGUUUUGCUGCUAUGAUUCCCCCUCAUCCACCUCCAUUUGAGCUUGUGGCAAGGACACUUACAGUGUCCCCUCUCCCUGCACUCCUCCCCACACCCCCAUGCCCCCAGCACCCAAACUGCUGGUCCCCCUGCAGUCCCCACUGACAUGGACAGUACAGUAGAUCCGGGAGGGUUCGGGGUUUGCAGCAUGACUAAGAUAUGUUGCCAUUCACAAGAUGCUCAUAGGCUGAGUGGGGGAGACAGCCUGGCUUUAGAUCUGGCCUCAUUCUUGCAUCUGUAAGAUGGAUUCAGGCAGGUGCCUCAGCUGAGCAAUACCAACCAUCCUGGGUGUUCCUCACAUCCGCUGAUGCCAGGCCGUCAUGUGUCCCCAUUGACAAGCAUAUACUGAGCACUUCCUAGGUUCCCAGUACUGCCUGGGGUGCUGGGGGGAACUUUUAGUGAACAAAGCUAUUUGCCUCAUGGAGCUUCUGGUUUUGUGGAGAAACAGAGGAAACGUAAAACAACAUAAAUUGUUAUGUCUAUCAAAGUGGUGAUAAUUACUUAAUUGUUACCUUUGCUUCUGCCCUUGGCAUGCCAGGUGCUGCUACUUCUGGGAAAGAUCUAGAUCGUCUGCUGUGGAUGAGACCUCAUUUGCUUAUUCUGAUGUUUUCAUGCAGUCCUUCUCCGCCAGAGUUCCUCAUGGAAACCACAGAACACAGAACAUGAUCUUAGUGACAAUUUUCUCAGCUCUGCCAAGGAUUGUUCAGAACUAGGACCACUCUGGAUGCAGACGAGAGGAGCAAAUUCACUACAUACAAUGGAUGUCUUAGGGCACUGGGCUUUUAUUCCCCCCUCCGCUUCUUUGUGACAAGUUUUCCAUUUUUCAUCCUCUGAACAUUGGUUUCUCUCGCUUCCUGCCUCUUCUGAAACUUUUGUUUUUUAACCCCCCUUCUUGGAUUAUUUCCUCUAUCCUUUAUCCUCCUGAACACAGAGGAAGAAACAGAAAUACGGAGCAGAGGUACUUUCAUUAGUGAUGGGUGAUGGUUCUUGAUUUGAAAAUCUACACGCAGAGGGGUGGGAUCUAAGACAAAAAUUGUUGCCUGCCAUAGGUAGCCAAACAGGACUUUUUUCAGGUUAACCAUUAAGAAAAAAAAUGAAAUCCACUCAUUUCAUGCUCCUCCCUCCACAGCAGCUGACUUUGCUAAUAGAAUAGGGUUCUCCUGGAUUAGGGGGAAAACAGGGCAAAUGAGAAGCUGGACAGAAGGAGGUACUCUGCUGAUGGUGGUGGGAUUUGCAGACUGAGUGCGAGAAUAAGAGGCUCUGGUUAUGAGCAGGAGUCCCUGGGGCCACUGUUAUAUCGUUUUCCUCCUGUCUCUUCCCUAGACCCCUGGCUCCUUUUUUCAAGGGCAUGAACCCCAUUCAGUGUGGACAGAGGCUGUGGUCCCUAUUCACUGCGGUCUGGGGUCUCUCUAACCCUGGGUGGAGCACUUGGAGGACAAGGAGAAAAGUAGGACUUCCUCCUAAAAGUGCCCAGCCCAGCUGUGACUUUGAUUCUGAAAGAAGGCCUUGCAGGUUGAAGACAAUGAUUUGUUAUUGUUACUGUUUAAUAUUCAUCAAAUGCUUGUAAUGUGUUGGACGACAUUGAAAAAGAUUUGUGGUGGGUAAAAUUAAACUGAGCUCAGAACUGGCCUGCUGCCUCCAGGUCUGGCAGGCCAAGUUCUGGUUUCUUCUGCUUGUCCACAAGAAUGACCUCAACCAACCAGGAAUGGGAAGCCACCACCACCAUAGCCCUGCUGAUAAUUCUCCUUUAAAAAGGCAUGAAUUCCUAUAAUCUUUCCUGCCUUGGGUUACAGAAGGGGUGAUGCUAUGGUUACCUUCAAGCAUGAAAGAUCCAGGGAUGUAAGGUGACCCAAAAAAGUGGCAAAGCAAAUCAGUGUGAAUGACAUCUUUGAGCCAAAUCUACAACAUCAGCAAAGCUGGGCUUCAGUUUUCUCCCCUUUCCCCUGGUUUGGAUGCUGCCUCUGUAAGACAUGUGGACUCCUCUUACUCCUCCUGCCUCAAGACCACCUGCCAGGAAUUGAUUAUGUAUGCUCAUUUGAACUAAAGAAUGUUAAAGAGAGAGAGAGAGCGAAUAGGCCAAAAAUGGAGUCACUUAUGCUAAGCCCCAUGUCACCAAGCUGAGACUUAACACUGCAUUUAAUUACAGUUUCAGUCUCCCCCUAGGAAUCUUAAACCAGUCAGUCUGGAAUUACCUGGUCUGCACUAGUGAGGUAAUCUUCCUGAGACACCCCUGAAGCUCCCUGGAGGAAAGUGAUCUUGCCACAACCAGUUCACUCUUUACCGGUAAUACUUCCUUCUCCCACUCUCUUCUGCCUGCACAAAUUGGGUUGGAAUGACACUAGGCUACCCACCAACCUCAUGAAAGUGUCCAUGAUACAAGGUAAACUGUAAAACACCACACAAUCCCCAAGCCAAUGGCACAUCCCUCUUAGGUAUUAUUUGGCUCCAAGGUACCCAGGGCCUAGUGAAAGCAAUGUGAUCCUUAAGUCCUGAAGACUUGAGUGUGCUAUUUUCUGUUAUACUUGCUUAUUUUAUGUCCAAGAACUGUGGUCCUAGAAACUAAAAGUAUUGACAAAAAGGCAAAAUCUUAACUAAAAACAACUUAAAAUACAGUGACCAUUAUGGGGAGUGUUCCAAUCAGACAAGAUCAUUCUUUUAAGACAUGCACUUGAAAGCAAGGAUUGCUGGGUUAAACAGACAGAAUAAGAUACCUAUUUUAAUUGGCAUUCACAAGCUUCCAAAAGGCUUCAAGAUUUCAAAAUAGCUCUUUCUGAAAGAUUCAUUGCAAAAGCUAAUGAAAAAUUAAAGACACAAGAGGUACCUAAAACAAAAGACUACAAGGCUGACAUGACUCCUACUGCUUCUCUCUCUCCUCUUUUACCUGUGUCCUCAUUCCAGUUAUCCUCUGUAUGAAUUGUCUUUCCAUUCUGAACAGAUUACACAACCAUAAACAGAAGUCUACCAAGUUAAUGACCUUACAGACAUCCCUGGUAUUUACCUUUGAAGAAGCACUCCCAGGAUGUGCUCUGGGACUCUUGAGGGAUUUUCUGGUAAACCUCUGUGUUAUUCCCUUAAACAGCCAAGGGAAACUACAAUUAAAAUUACGGGAAAAUGUUCUGGCAGAUAACAGAGCCUACAGAUGGGGUCCUGGGAAAACUGGCCCAAACCAGGAAAGGGUAAGUGUUCUUACCAUAAUCUCUGCCUGUAGUUUCUACUCAAGGCAAGAAAAUAAAAUUUCCUGUGAUUCCUUCCUUUCCAAAUCCAGACCUGUUGGCUAUUAAUCCUUUCUUUCCCAGGGACAGCCAUUACCUUCUCAUUUGUCUUGUUUUGUGUCCUGAUAAUUUGGCUUUGUAAUGGUCAGAUUGGAAGCCCCAAAAUAUGGCCAGACAGAAAUGUGGUUUGCACCCCAUUUGUGGCAGUCUAUGUGUAGACAGAAAUAUGGGUUGAACUCCAUGUGUGGCUGGGGUCCUACCUCCCAGCCCUCAUGGGAAUUGUCAAAGUCUUGCUUUCUUCUGGUUAUCUUUGGGAGUGGCUCUGGAUCCUAGGAGUAGUAUCUUUUACACCCUCUUUGGGCUUGCCUAUUACAUCCACGGCAGGUUAUUUAGUAUUUCCAGGAAUAUUUACUGUUUGUCUUGACUGAAAUCUAAGGUGUUUGAAAGGAUUUUUUUUAAGUACCUCUGUGGUCAAAGGUUGGCCAAAUUGGAAGCUGAUUUUCAGAGCCCGAUAGAAAUUUUUUUAGGUCUUCUCUCCUAAACUAAAUGUACCUGGGGCCAGGAGGGAGGAGCACCUUCUGAAACCUUUUUGAAGGGAUUUACUAAGAGAUUCCAAAGCACAGCUAUAAAUCCAGAACAUAGAAAUAAUGUGGUUUGAUAGGCAGAUCAGCUCCUUGAUGUAAUUUUGGCUGCAGCUUAACUCUGAGUAAUUAAAAGCAACUGGCAUUAUCUUACAAAUCUUUGCAAAACAAGAAAUACAGCUCUAGAAACAAUUUAAAAUCCACUUAUUUUUUUGGCCAGUCCAGAAAUUCCCCUAUUUAUCUCAAAAAGCUUGUAAGUAUUGUAAAAAUUCUGACCUUAGGAGACAAAAUCCCUUCUUGAAGCUACUGGCAUUCUUUUCCCAUGCCUUUGAGAUGUAAGUGUUCUACCUGGUCUUCUCCAGAAACUCUUAUCUAAGUCACCUCUUUGAAAUGGAAUUUCAGGGAGGAAACUCUCAAUGGAAGGAAAACAAAGAGGGGAAAGGUGAUUUGCAACUUUGGUGAAUGAAAACUCUUAACUGUGCUAUAGCCACUGAACAGGGAAACUUAAAUUAUUCCUUCUGCCAGAAACACAACUGGGAUCUAACUUCUUUUGUAACCAGUGCUCUUUGUAUUAGUUUACCUGAUUCAUUGCCAGAACUUCAGAACGAAAUCUGCAUCUCUGUUUGUGUCUGUCUGUAGAUUUAUGUGUCUCCAUAUUUAUAUGUCAUAAAUGUGUGAUAUUUUUCUACCUCCAGAUUAUAUUGCUAAAUUAAUUUAUCAAAGAAUUCUAUUUAAUUGAUUCAAAGAUAUCUAGGAGUGCCUGGGUGGCUCAUAUGUUAAGUGUCUGACUUGAAUUUCGCUCAAGUCAUGACCGCAGCAUUGUGGGAUCAAGCCCCACGUUGGGCUCCAUGCUGAAUGUGGAGCCUGCUUAAGAUUUUCUCUCGCUGCUCCUCCCCCUCCCCACUUGCUCUUUCUCUCUCUAAAAUAAAAUAAAAUAAAAUAAAAUAAAAUCUAAUUAAUAGGUAAGAGGGGCCAAGGUGCUUAACCAUUACUCUGUAUCAUUAUAUGUACCACACUUGGGAUGGUUUCCCAUGGCCAGUGGGUUCAGCCCUAGCUGAAUAUUAGAGUCCUUUGUUUAGUGGGGAGGGUGCUUUUAAACCAUACCAAUGACUGGGUCCCUUUCCUGAGAUCCACAUUUAAUUGGUUUGGUGGGAGAGAAGGAACAGGAUUGAGUGUGUUUAGAACACUCCCCAUGUGACUGCCAUGAGAAAGCAGAAUUGAGAACCCCUGCUAAUGAGGAAGGCCAGAGAGAAGGGCAGCAGACAUAGGGGAAGAGGUGAGGGAAGCUUUCAGGAAGAUUUUCUCCAAGGACUGAAAGGGUGGUGGCUGUGACUGUGCUUAUUAAAGAAACUUGAUCUUGAGUUCUGGGAAGUAGUACAAAUGAAUUAACUCUGCUCUCAGGGAAGAGAGGGUAUGGAAUGGCUGACUCAGAGGGUAGCCCUGAAAGGUAUUUAGUUCAGAGAGACCAGAAAUUUGGGACUAUUCCAGCAGCCCUCAGGGCCCGAUCUUUGUUUUUCUUCCACCACCCCACCCCCCACCACCACCACAUAGUGGCUGGUUUGACUGGAAGAGCCAUUUGCCAUGAGCACUGAGGUGCCAUCGAGGAGGACCCUGGGAGGGGAAAGAACAUGGCAUAGGGAAGACCAGGGAAAGAGAAUAUGAACACCUGGAAUUGUGCCACCAGCAUGAGAAUCCUUCCAUAGCAUGGAGCAUUGGGUCCAGGUCUCAGGAGUUAGAGUUAGUCUCUCUGUGGUUUCCCGCCCAGGGCAUGCUGCCCAUGCCUCCACUAGAUGAAUCCCAACAGGCCAAGGUUGGUUGUUCCCCAUUCUGUCUUCAUCAGCACUGUAAGUGCACCUGACAGUUCAGGAGUAUAUCUUGUUCAUCUGUGUACUUGGGUGUGUUUAGAACACUCCUCAUGUGACUGCAGUGACUGCAACCCCAGUGCUUAAUGCAAAGCCCAGACAUAAUAGUUGUCCAAAAGGAUGACUAACUACCCUAGCUUGCGUGAGACUGAAGGGAUGUCCAGAGAUGGAACUUUUAAUGUCAACAUGGAGAGAGCCUUGGCAAACUGGGAUGGGUUGAUCACUUUAGUGCCCACUGACACCUCAAAAGCAAGACCCCAAACUGGUGAGUUCUAAGCCUUCAAAGCUGCCUUGGAUAGUGUUGGCAUAGCCCAUCUGGAGAGCAGCUGUCUUCACAAAGGAUGUCUCUGACAUGGCAUGAAGACUCUACCAAGGUCACUGAUCUCACCAAUUAUUUCCUAUUUCUUCUGACACGUGGAAAAUAAGUGAUACCAACUAUAUGGAUGCUGGAGGAGGAAGUAGGGGAAACAACAUCUUAAAUCAGAGACCAAGAGUCUUCAGAUUUAGAUGGGAAACUUACCUCUGCUUCUAACUGAGAAGAGAGGAAUGUUUGGAAAACAACACCUGGCUACACGAAUGGUGCCUGAGAAUGGAAAUGUACCACGCACAUUACAUAAUAAUUAUCAAAAUAGUGGUUACUCUCUUUGAACACUUACUUUGCGCUAGAUGCUGUAGUAAGACAUUUUUUAAACAUUUAUUUGAUAAAUAUAGGAAAACAUAAAAAAUUAAACCGUCCUCUAAUCCCAGUUCUGAGAUGGUAGUUGCGAUUGGAUAAAGUUAGACAGGAGAACACUUCUGCCUUCUCUUGGGCCAUCGAGCGUGAACACAGUUUUGGAGUGCGUCCUUCUUGACUUUCUCCAGGUGACGCAGACGUAUUUAUGUCCGUAUCUUGCAGACGUGUUUUUACAGGUGGAAUGAAUAGGUACGUUUGGUCUGCAACUGUUUUUGUAUUGUUUUUAGCAUAUAUAGACAACCUUCCUUCCAGGUCAUUGGCUAUUGAUCUUCUUUGUUCUUUUAACUUCUGCGUAACAUUCAGUGUAUGAAUCCAACAUAGUUUUUCUACCUCUCUUUUAUUGGUAAUUUACUUAUUUCAAGUAUUAUUAUAUUAUGUUAAUUAUAUUCUAUUAUAUUAUUAUAAAACAAUUAAACAUGUUUUACAUAUUUUA